AUGAAUCUGUUUCGGCUCGCCGGGGACAUGACCCACCUCGUCAGCGUGGUGGUGCUGCUCCUCAAGAUCCACACCAUCAAGUCGUGCGCAGGCAUAUCUCUGAAGACGCAGGAGCUAUACGCACUAGUUUUUGCAGCUCGCUACCUGGAUCUGUUUGUGCAUUUUGUAUCUUUGUAUAACACCGUCAUGAAGCUGGUCUUCCUGGCGAGCUCUUUCUCAAUAGUUUGGUACAUGAGGAAGCAUAAGAUCGUGCGUAGGACCUAUGACAGGGAGCACGACACCUUUCGCCAUCAUUUCAUAGUGCUGCCAUGUUUGGUUCUGGCUCUCCUCAUCAAUGAGAGAUUUACCUUUAGAGAGGUAAUGUGGGCAUUCUCCAUUUACUUGGAAGCCGUAGCAAUUCUGCCUCAACUUGUGUUGCUACAGCGCACAAGGAAUAUUGACAACUUGACUGGCCAAUAUGUCUUUUUCUUGGGUGCCUACCGCGUACUUUAUAUCCUCAACUGGAUUUACCGAUACUUCACUGAGCCCCAUUUUGUUCACUGGAUAAGCUGGAUUGCGGGUAUCGUGCAGACUAUGCUGUAUGCUGACUUCUUCUACUAUUACAUAAUAAGCUGGAAGAACAACGUGAAGCUAGAGCUACCAGCCUGA
rnacentral:rRNA from 1 species